GGGUUGUGAGGUUAAGCGACUAAGCGUACACGGUGGAUGCCCUGGCAGUCAGAGGCGAUGAAGGACGUGCUAAUCUGCGAUAAGCGUCGGUAAGGUGAUAUGAACCGUUAUAACCGGCGAUUUCCGAAUGGGGAAACCCAGUGUGAUUCGUCACACUAUCAUUAACUGAAUCCAUAGGUUAAUGAGGCGAACCGGGGGAACUGAAACAUCUAAGUACCCCGAGGAAAAGAAAUCAACCGAGAUUCCCCCAGUAGCGGCGAGCGAACGGGGAGCAGCCCAGAGCCUGAAUCAGUGUGUGUGUUAGUGGAAGCGUCUGGAAAGGCGUGCGAUACAGGGUGACAGCCCCGUACACAAAAAUGCACAUACUGUGAGCUCGAUGAGUAGGGCGGGACACGUGGUAUCCUGUCUGAAUAUGGGGGACCAUCCUCCAAGGCUAAAUACUCCUGACUGACCGAUAGUGAACCAGUACCGUGAGGGAAAGGCGAAAAGAACCCCGGCGAGGGGAGUGAAAAAGAACCUGAAACCGUGUACGUACAAGCAGUGGGAGCACGCUUAGGCGUGUGACUGCGUACCUUUUGUAUAAUGGGUCAGCGACUUAUAUUCUGUAGCAAGGUUAACCGAAUAGGGGAGCCGAAGGGAAACCGAGUCUUAACUGGGCGUUAAGUUGCAGGGUAUAGACCCGAAACCCGGUGAUCUAGCCAUGGGCAGGUUGAAGGUUGGGUAACACUAACUGGAGGACCGAACCGACUAAUGUUGAAAAAUUAGCGGAUGACUUGUGGCUGGGGGUGAAAGGCCAAUCAAACCGGGAGAUAGCUGGUUCUCCCCGAAAGCUAUUUAGGUAGCGCCUCGUGAAUUCAUCUCCGGGGGUAGAGCACUGUUUCGGCAAGGGGGUCAUCCCGACUUACCAACCCGAUGCAAACUGCGAAUACCGGAGAAUGUUAUCACGGGAGACACACGGCGGGUGCUAACGUCCGUCGUGAAGAGGGAAACAACCCAGACCGCCAGCUAAGGUCCCAAAGUCAUGGUUAAGUGGGAAACGAUGUGGGAAGGCCCAGACAGCCAGGAUGUUGGCUUAGAAGCAGCCAUCAUUUAAAGAAAGCGUAAUAGCUCACUGGUCGAGUCGGCCUGCGCGGAAGAUGUAACGGGGCUAAACCAUGCACCGAAGCUGCGGCAGCGACGCUUAUGCGUUGUUGGGUAGGGGAGCGUUCUGUAAGCCUGUGAAGGUGUGCUGUGAGGUAUGCUGGAGGUAUCAGAAGUGCGAAUGCUGACAUAAGUAACGAUAAAGCGGGUGAAAAGCCCGCUCGCCGGAAGACCAAGGGUUCCUGUCCAACGUUAAUCGGGGCAGGGUGAGUCGACCCCUAAGGCGAGGCCGAAAGGCGUAGUCGAUGGGAAACAGGUUAAUAUUCCUGUACUUGGUGUUACUGCGAAGGGGGACGGAGAAGGCUAUGUUGGCCGGGCGACGGUUGUCCCGGUUUAAGCGUGUAGGCUGGUUUUCCAGGCAAAUCCGGAAAAUCAAGGCCGAGGCGUGAUGACGAGGCACUACGGUGCUGAAGCAACAAAUGCCCUGCUUCCAGGAAAAGCCUCUAAGCAUCAGGUAACAUCAAAUCGUACCCCAAACCGACACAGGUGGUCAGGUAGAGAAUACCAAGGCGCUUGAGAGAACUCGGGUGAAGGAACUAGGCAAAAUGGUGCCGUAACUUCGGGAGAAGGCACGCUGAUACGUAGGUGAAGCGACUUGCUCGUGGAGCUGAAAUCAGUCGAAGAUACCAGCUGGCUGCAACUGUUUAUUAAAAACACAGCACUGUGCAAACACGAAAGUGGACGUAUACGGUGUGACGCCUGCCCGGUGCCGGAAGGUUAAUUGAUGGGGUUAGCGCAAGCGAAGCUCUUGAUCGAAGCCCCGGUAAACGGCGGCCGUAACUAUAACGGUCCUAAGGUAGCGAAAUUCCUUGUCGGGUAAGUUCCGACCUGCACGAAUGGCGUAAUGAUGGCCAGGCUGUCUCCACCCGAGACUCAGUGAAAUUGAACUCGCUGUGAAGAUGCAGUGUACCCGCGGCAAGACGGAAAGACCCCGUGAACCUUUACUAUAGCUUGACACUGAACAUUGAGCCUUGAUGUGUAGGAUAGGUGGGAGGCUUUGAAGUGUGGACGCCAGUCUGCAUGGAGCCGACCUUGAAAUACCACCCUUUAAUGUUUGAUGUUCUAACGUGGACCCGUGAUCCGGGUUGCGGACAGUGUCUGGUGGGUAGUUUGACUGGGGCGGUCUCCUCCUAAAGAGUAACGGAGGAGCACGAAGGUUGGCUAAUCCUGGUCGGACAUCAGGAGGUUAGUGCAAUGGCAUAAGCCAGCUUGACUGCGAGCGUGACGGCGCGAGCAGGUGCGAAAGCAGGUCAUAGUGAUCCGGUGGUUCUGAAUGGAAGGGCCAUCGCUCAACGGAUAAAAGGUACUCCGGGGAUAACAGGCUGAUACCGCCCAAGAGUUCAUAUCGACGGCGGUGUUUGGCACCUCGAUGUCGGCUCAUCACAUCCUGGGGCUGAAGUAGGUCCCAAGGGUAUGGCUGUUCGCCAUUUAAAGUGGUACGCGAGCUGGGUUUAGAACGUCGUGAGACAGUUCGGUCCCUAUCUGCCGUGGGCGCUGGAGAACUGAGGGGGGCUGCUCCUAGUACGAGAGGACCGGAGUGGACGCAUCACUGGUGUUCGGGUUGUCAUGCCAAUGGCACUGCCCGGUAGCUAAAUGCGGAAGAGAUAAGUGCUGAAAGCAUCUAAGCACGAAACUUGCCCCGAGAUGAGUUCUCCCUGACCCUUUAAGGGUCCUGAAGGAACGUUGAAGACGACGACGUUGAUAGGCCGGGUGUGUAAGCGCAGCGAUGCGUUGAGCUAACCGGUACUAAUGAACCGUGAGGCUUAACCUUACAACGCCGAAG
rnacentral:rRNA from 1 species